ACGACGAUGAUGAUAAUGCCACUGUCAUCAGUGACUUGUCGUGGGUGCCCGAAGAGCCGAUGGAUGAGGAGGAAUUGUUUGAUGAGGAGCCACCUUACACGUGUGACCCCCACCACAAUUGCAUUGACAAAUUCAUUGUUUGCCAAGAGGAGCUGAUGGGCCUUUUUGCCAUCUGUCCGGCCUGUUGUGAGAGGUCGGAUAGUAGCAUCGUGCAGCAGGAAGGAACUUUUGUUAAGAUCAAGCAGGUCUGUGCAUCAUGUGGCUACCACCGUUUCUGGCAAAACCAGCCAAUGCUCCACAGGAACAUGC